rnacentral:snRNA from 15 species
AUCUUUGUGCACGGGUAUUACGCUUAUCAGUGAGGAACUUUUCCUAGAUGGCGUUAUUGCUAGUUGAAAACUAUUACCCUGACCGCUCCAACUCUCGUUAAGAGUUUUGGGAAUAUUUGGAAACCAACUUAUUGC